rnacentral:tRNA from 2 species
CGGGCUGUAGCACAGUUGGUAGUGUACCAGUAUGGGGUGCUGGGGGUCGCGUGUUCGAGUCACGUCAGCCCGA